CUUUUGUUUUAGCUAUCGAAAAUUCGAGAUGCUUGACCAAACAAUUUAUAAAUAUGUUCUCCGAAAAUAGUAGGUGGGAGGAAAAAAAUAAUUUUGAGAUCCCAUGAAUAAGGCGAUAGAAUCUCAAACUUUAGUGUUAAAACAUCAGAUACACACAUAAUUGGAAAUGACUUAUGUCUAUCACCUCUAACAAUACACAACUUAUGUCACCCUGAAUAAGUACUUCUUCACAGUGCUUAUUCAUAUUACGGGCCCUUCAUCUACCGUGGAGGAGAGUCCCACGACGAUCAUAGAGGAUAUUGUUCCGACAGUUAAUGAGGAUCCCGAUGUUACACAGAUUCAUACUACUGGCCCAUCAUCUACAGUGGAGGAGAGUCCCACGACGAUCAUAGAGGAUGUUGUUCCGACAGUUAAUGAGGAUCCCGACGUUACACAGAUUCAUACUACGGGCCCUUCAUCUACAGUGGAGGAGAGUCCCACGAUGAUCAUAGAGGAUGUUGUUCCGACAAUGUUGCUUUCAUCAUGCCAGUGGAUGAUAUGCCGCAAACACCCGUAAGAAAAAAACUUGUUAAAAAAAUUGUAAAGAAUGUGAACAUAAAGGAUCUUCAGGCCAAAAAGAGAAAGAGGAACAAUGGAGAUGAAGAUGGAUAUACGGGACUUAGACCGCGAGAUGUUUUACAAAUUUCAAAAAAGGGUUGUGGAAUAUAAUAUUAAUUUUAUUUGUGUAUGAAUCUUUUUUUGAGGGUAUAUAGUAAAUUAUUCUAAUCA